UCGUCUAUCAGUUUUUGAAGAUUUUUUUUUAUUUAUCAUAUAACUUUUAUUUAAAAAAAUUCUUUUCUUUGUAAUUAUUAGCAGAAUACUCUGUUUGUAAAUCUCCUCGAUAUUCUUUCAAAUUUAUAUUCUUCUGCUACAUUGCGUGAUCCUUAAAUUUCUCUUAAAUAGUACAGCAUCUAUUCAAAUUUUUCUUAUAAAUGAAAAUAACUUUUCUUCGAUUAUCAUUCUCAAUUUCAUCUGAUCUUGUUAUGGUAAAGCAAAGGAUGUUCUACAUGGACAACUAUAUACGUAGAUGAGAAGCACGCAUUUCUAGCGGUACACACACAGACGAAGAGCAUGGACAGCCGAUAAGAUGGACGGAUAGCUGUUGUGAUGUUCCUCUCACUUUUUCCAAGUUAAGAACGAGUCUGGACGAUUUAUGCCCCGAAUUAGAACGCGAACCCUGCCUCACCAUAUUUUUUGAUUGCACUUUGUCGAACGUAAACGAUGCGCAUUGCACGGGGUUUACCGAAGAAGAAAAUCCUGAAUUAUGUUUCAUACGAGCAAGUAGAUACUCGUUGCUUUUAAUUGGUAACGGAUUGCCUAGGAUAUCCGGAAGGAAUAUGAGAACGACGAAACACUUACAAUUACUGAAGGACUGUGCAGACAUGGAAAAAGUAAAUUUAUGCGUGGGAAAAGUUGUACGAGAUGGAAGGGAGGUUGUACGAGUGGUGUAGAUUGGUUGAGCAGCAUCGUGAGCGCGAGAAAAGAAAGAUGAGCACAGGAGACGAGAAAUGUAGGUGCAAU
rnacentral:misc_RNA from 1 species